GAUGUCACAGGAUGUCUCAUCUGUUU
rnacentral:piRNA from 1 species